AGUGAACGCUGGCGGUAGGCCUAACACAUGCAAGUCGAACGGCAGCACAGUAAGAGCUUGCUCUUACGGGUGGCGAGUGGCGGACGGGUGAGGAAUACAUCGGAAUCUACUUUUUCGGGGGGGAUAAGGUAGGGAAACUUACGCUAAUACCGCAUAAGACCUACGGGUGAAAGCAUGGGAUCUUCGGACCUUGCGCGAUUGAAUGAGCCGAUGUCGGAUUAGCUAGUUGGCGGGGUAAAGGCCCACCAAGGCGACGAUCCGUAGCUGGUCUGUGAGGAUGAGCAGCCACACUGGAACUGAGACACGGUCCAGACUCCUACGGGAGGCAGCAGUGGGGAAUAUUGGACAAUGGGCGCAAGCCUGAUCCAGCCAUACCGCGUGGGUGAAGAAGGCCUUCGGGUUGUAAAGCCCUUUUGUUGGGAAAGAAAAGCAGCAGGUUAAUACCCCGCUGUUCUGACGGUACCCAAAGAAUAAGCACCGGCUAACUUCGUG
rnacentral:rRNA from 1 species